rnacentral:rRNA from 1 species
CGGGGUGCACCAGGCGCGAAACCUCUGCAAUAGGCGAAAGCCUGACAGGGUUACUCUGAGUGAUUUCCGUUAAGGAGAUCUUUUGGCACCUCUAAAAAUGGUGCAGAAUAAGAGGUGGGCAAGUCUGGUGUCAGCCGCCGCGGUAAUACCAGCACCCCGAGUGGUCGGGACGUUUAUUGGGCCUAAAGCAUCCGUAGCCGGUUCUACAAGUCUUCCGUUAAAUCCACCUGCUUAACAGAUGGGCUGCGGAAGAUACUAUAGAGCUAGGAGGCGGGAGAGGCAAGCGGUACUCGAUGGGUAGGGGUAAAAUCCGUUGAUCCAUUGAAGACCACCAGUGGCGAAGGCGGCUUGCCAGAACGCGCUCGACGGUGAGGGAUGAAAGCUGGGGGAGCAAACCGGAUUAGAUACCCGGGUAGUCCCAGCUGUAAACGAUGCAGACUCGGUGAUGAGUUGGCUUUAUGCCAACUCAGUGCCGCAGGGAAGCCGUUAAGUUUGCCGCCUGGGGAGUACGGUCGCAAGACUGAAACUUAAAGGA